AACGAACGCUGGCGGCAUGCCUAACACAUGCAAGUCGAACGAGACCUUCGGGUCUAGUGGCGCACGGGUGCGUAACACGUGGGAAUUUGCCUCGGGGUAUGGAAUAACUCAGGGAAACUUGAGCUAAUACCAUAUAAUGUCUUCGGACCAAAGAUUUAUCGCCCUGAGAUAAGCCCGCGUAGGAUUAGCUAGUUGGUGGGUAAAGGCUCACCAAGGCGACGAUCCUUAGCUGGUCUGAGAGGAUGAUCAGCCACACUGGGACUGAGACACGGCCCAGACUCCUACGGGAGGCAGCAGUGGGGAAUAUUGGACAAUGGGCGAAAGCCUGAUCCAGCAAUGCCGCGUGAGUGAUGAAGGCCUUCGGUUGGUUAAACUGCUUUUGUACGGAACGAAACGGUGAGCUCUAAUACAGUUUGCUAAUGACGGUACCGUAAGAAUAAGCACCGGCUAACUCCGUGCCAGCAGCCGCGGUAAUAGUGACUACUG
rnacentral:rRNA from 1 species